rnacentral:rRNA from 1 species
CCGGAAUGGACAAACCACUGGUGCACCAGUUGUUCCGCCAGGAGCAUAGCUGGGUAGCUAAGUUUGGAAAGGAUAAGUGCUGAAGGCAUCUAAGCACGAAGCCCCCUUCAAGAUAAGAUAUCUCACCGAAAGGUUAAGGUCCCUGGUAGACGACCAGGUAGAUAGGCUGGAUGUGGAAGUAUGGCAACAUAUGGAGCUGACCAGUACUAAUCGACCGAGGUCUUGAUCCAAA